rnacentral:rRNA from 1 species
UUCUAUAUGAUACUAACAUAUAGUAAAACCUGCUCCAUGUUGAUAUAAUAUAUUGCCGCAGAAUAUCUGUGCUAAGGUAGCAUAAUAACUAGCUUUCUAAUUAAAAGAUAGAAUGAAUGGUUAUACGAAAUAUUAACUGUUUCUUUUAUUUAAAACGAAACUAUACUAAAAGUAAAAAUACUUUUAAUAAAAAGAAAGACGAUAAGACCCUAAAAACUUACUAUAAUUAGCUGGGGCGGCUAUAAAAAAAUACCUUAAACUAAAUUUUAAUCACUAAACAAACCAAAUUUAGCAUAGAAACAGUUACUUUAGGGAUAACAGCGCUACUUUUUUCCAAAGAUCUAAUAAAAAAAUUUCCUACGACCUCGAUGUUGAAUUAUUAUCCUUUAACGACGCAAAAGUCUUAAUAGGUAGUCUGUUCGACUAUUAAACAUAU